UGUUAUGUUUACUGAUUUAUUUUAAGUCGCCUCAUCCAGUCACCAUGUCUGAAGGCUCGGCUUGCACAUCGUAUCCCAGCAAUAACAAGUUAAAAAUAUGUGCGAUCUGUGAUUUGAAAGAACGUAUUUGGUGAUUAUUGGGAUAAUAUCGUGUCAUAAUGUUUACACAACUAAAAACGCCACAGUCAUCUUCACCUUACAACAAAAUGUAAUACAAAAAUGUCACGUGCAUGCCGGCGAACUACGCCCACUUAAAAAGAUACCCCAAUAUUUGAGCUUUGGUUUUGGAUCCGCCCUCCGAAAAGCUUGAGUCCAGGUGGGAUUAUUGCAUCACCUCAGUUAGCCAGCUAACAUGUGCAGCAACCUUCUGAGCAUUUGUUAACACAAAGCAACAAUCAAUACUUGACUAACUGACAUCUGAUAUAUUCAAGUGAUGAAUGCAAAGCGAUCAGGAUGAAAGGAAAAGUUAGAGGAGUAAAUGUAAAAUGUUAAAAUGAUUCAAACGUUAAUUACACAAAAGUGAUUUCAUUUCUUGAGUUUCUGUGUAAAUACAGGUGUAGAUGCACUCAACACUGCCUGUUCCCGACAACAGAGUUCUUCUUCUCUUAACAGAAACAACAAACAUGUAGGAGGAAUUCAUUUUGUGCUCCCCAUAAACCAGCUGGGAUCCCCUGCCGGUUUUAAAACAGCUUGGCUGCUUUGUCAAUAAAGGUGCAUCCCACAUCAGAGAAUGCGUCAACCUUUCUCUAAAAAGAAGUUUCAUUCACUUUGAAGUAGCUCUCUCUCAGAGCUCCGACGAUAUUGAAAGCAUUUUCCACGUUCUCCCCUCGUAUUUCCUCGUUGCUGGCAGCUCUCACAGACACCCAGAAAAAGGCAGCCACUUUCUUCUUCUUUUUUUCUUUUUUUUUCUCCCUCCCCUCUCCCGCUCCCUUUCAAGGUGAGAGGCGAGCUUUCGAUGAAUCACCCCUCUGCUCCCGCCGUGUUCCCAACCGUGUCUCCUCUUCGUCAAGCAGCGUGAGUGAUGGGAGUGACAGAGGAGACACCUGCCCUGAACCGCCGCUGACAGAGAGGGAGAGGAAGGAGGAGAGGGGUGGAGGGAGGGAGGCGCACUGCCUGAUGGGAGAAACACACAGCGAGGCAACAAACUUGCAGAGACUAUCACUUAUAGUGACAGGCCAGGAGGUGCCAUGCUAUUAGCAGGCCGUAGGGUAGGCCCUGAGCACGGCCCGUCCUACCUACGAUGGAUGGGCCUCUCUCUCGGGACUAAAUUAAUACUGGGAGUCUAGUGAAUUGCUUUUGGAACAAUGUCCUCCUAAGGAGCUAAUCAGACAGGAGUUAUCUAGAAGUGCCUGUAGGCUGGCUGCAGCGCUGUGGCUGCCUGGCAGAAGGCAGGUGCACCACGCCGACUCACAGCAGUUCAUUCCCGAGCAGGACACAGCAGUGGUGAUAUUCAUUAGAGUCUGGUGAUGAUGAAUCCCACGACUCAGAGUUUCCAGAGAGAGCCUUCCCAUAGCAGUGAGGAAACAUGAUCAGACAGUUUUAACUCAGUCCCAGUGUUGAGGAGUUUGGGAAGAUUGUUUGUUUGUUUCAUGCUCCAGUAGGUUCGCCAGCGAGUUGCUAGCUGUCAUUUCAUGCAGAUCAGGUUGUGAACUGAGGAUUUAUCAGAGCUUCUUUCACUGAAACAGUCUCCGGUGUUGAUGAGAGUGGGGGGAGGAAACAUAAUCAAUGAAGGUCUGGGUGAUAAUUUAAAACAACGAGCUGAAAGGUUUUGAAACACCUCAGUCAGCAGUCAGGUGCAGUAUGUGACAAUCGGCCACCUGUUUGUCAUGAUUUGGACUGUGUGUGCAGUCGUCUGUGCCUCGUUGUGUGUCUCAUGUGUUCUCAGAUGGGUUCUGCAGAGGCUGGGCGUUGUUUCCCAGCAUGACUGGAGCUCCCGCCUCUCACACACCUGCAGCUCAUCUGAUCAUCAGCACCGGCUCAAAUACUCAGGUCGUCUCUCCACUCGCUGCCAGAAUGUGUUAUGCCUUCCCUGCUCGUGCUUCUAUCCGUGACUCUUUGCUCUCAUGAAGCUAUGUUUGUUCUUUCCUCACCUUCAAGCUCUGCGUCAGCUCCACAGCCACCUCCACCACCUGCAUGAAUCCUACUGUGGAUUCUCAGAGUCUCACUCACCUGUGCCUCCACCUGAGCUUCCGCCUGCACCAUCGUGAGCUGCUGUGCCUGAGCCCGAGUUCCCUCCACUGCCCACGACCUGAGCUGCCUAAUAAAUUCCUUUACAACCUUUUUUUUCCCCCGUCAUGGUGUCAGCUUUUGAGUCUUACUUACAAACCACCUACACACCUGGUGAAUUUAUACUCCAGGCAUAUAGGGGGCAGCAGACAACCAGAGUAACUGCUCACUGUAGCUGCAGUUAGCUGGUUAGCUCAGUUAGCCAUUCAGCUAGUGGUUUAAUUGAAGAUGCUGUAUAAA